rnacentral:miRNA from 3 species
UUUUGGCGCGUUCUCCCGAU